rnacentral:rRNA from 1 species
UACGAAGGGGGCUAGCGUUGCUCGGAAUCACUGGGCGUAAAGCGCACGUAGGCGGAUCUUUAAGUCAGGGGUGAAAUCCCAAGGCUCAACCUUGGAACUGCCUUUGAUACUGGGGAUCUCGAGUCCGGAAGAGGUUGGUGGAACUGCGAGUGUAGAGGUGAAAUUCGUAGAUAUUCGCAAGAACACCAGUGGCGAAGGCGGCUCACUGGCCCAUAACUGACGCUGAGGCACGAAAGCGUGGGGAGCAAACAGGG